rnacentral:rRNA from 1 species
UACGUAGGGGGCGAGCGUUGUCCGGAUUUAUUGGGCGUAAAGAGCUCGUAGGCGGUUUGGUAAGUCGGGUGUGAAAUCUCCAGGCUCAACCUGGAGAGGUCACCCGAGACUGCCAUGACUAGAGUCCGGUAGGGGUGUGUGGAAUUCCUGGUGGAGCGGUGAAAUGCGUAGAUAUUGGGAGGAACACCAGUGGCGAAGGCGGCUCACUGGACCGGUACUGACGCUGAUGCGCGAAAGCGUGGGGAGCAAACGGG